ACACCGGCAGCCCAAGUGGUGGCCAUUUUUAUUGGGCCUAAAGCGUUCGUAGCCGGCCUGAUAAGUCUCUGGUGAAAUCCCGCAGCUUAACUGUGGGAAUUGCUGGAGAUACUAUCAGACUUGAGGUCGGGAGAGGUUAGAGGUACUCCCAGGGUAGGGGUGAAAUCCUAUAAUCCUGGGAGGACCACCUGUGGCGAAGGCUGCUAACUGGAACGAACCUGACGGUGAGUAACGAAAGCCAGGGGCGCGAACCGGAGUAGAUACCCGGGUAGUCCUGGCCGUAAACGAUGUGGACUUGGUGUUGGGAUGGCCUCGAGCUGCCCCAGUGCCGAAGGGAAGCUGUUAAGUCCACCGCCUGGGAAGUACGGUCGCAAGGCUGAAACUUAAAUGAAUUGGCGGGG
rnacentral:rRNA from 1 species